UACGUAGGGCGCAAGCGUUAUCCGGAAUUAUUGGGCGUAAAGAGCUCGUAGGCGGUUUGUCGCGUCUGCUGUGAAAUCCCGAGGCUCAACCUCGGGCCUGCAGUGGGUACGGGCAGACUAGAGUGAUGUAGGGGAGACUGGAAUUCCUGGUGUAGCGGUGAAAUGCGCAGAUAUCAGGAGGAACACCGAUGGCGAAGGCAGGUCUCUGGGCAUUAACUGACGCUGAGGAGCGAAAGCAUGGGGAGCGAACAGG
rnacentral:rRNA from 1 species